ACUGAGACUCCCAGCGCCACCAACGUCGGAGUUGCAGUUUCUUUAGCUGUCAUAUGCAGACAAGUACUACCCACCUCGCCUUUGGAGUGAGCAGCAUCCCUGUGCCCAUCCUGCUGUGAUUCAGGAGUCUCGCAGAAGACAUCAGAAUGCCUUUCUCUGAGUCACAGUCUGUAUCUUCUAGAAAAGGCUGUCCAUCUUCACCCCAAGCCCACUGGCUCCUGAGAUACGACAUCCAGACCCAGUGCAGCUGGACCUGGCCCAGGAAGAUCAUGCGGUUUCUGGGAAGCACUGGAGAAGGAAAAGGCUGAAGAAAGGAAGACCGGAAAAGAAAUACAAGUCCUUCCGCCUUGGCAAAGAUGAUAGUACCGUUCCCUUCAGUGUUCCGGUUCUGCUCUAUUGGAUAAGUUCCGGUUUGACUAUGACUACGUGAAAAUGUGGAACCAGACCUUCACCCCACAUUCCAGCUCCAGCUCUACCACAGAGGAAGUGCAAUAUCACCUUAGUUAUUCAACACAUUAUGCUCCUCGUGAUACAACCAGAGUUCACAUCAGCAAUCUUGGCAGCUCUCACCACGCUGCUGACUCACGACUCUCUCAUGUCCCAAUUUCCUGUCCAUUGUUCUUUCCUCUACUUGGCCUGAUUUCUAAAGGCCUCUCUUGGUUGCAUUAAGCGGGAUUCCUGAGGGAUUCCCUUGGCAGUUACCUUGGGGGAGCUCUUAGGUUUGGGGCUGAUCCAUGUCCUCUAAAUGUAGGACUUCAAAGCUCCCAAAGAUAGGCAGGCCCAGUGGGAAGCUGGGAAAUGCUCUCUGACCCCUCUGGGAGGGCUGGCAGUCAGAGGGCCUUUUGGAAAGAGUCAGACCUGAUCCAUAAGUCCCUGGAAAACACCCUGCCCAGGGAGCAAAUGCCACUGUGGCCUUGACUGAGGCUUCAGAAGAGUUUGGGAGCUGCAAUUCAUCCACACACGCAUUCAUUUUCAAGUAGUGGUUUGCAGUUCAGGCUUUGGAGCCACAUAAGCCUGGCUUCAAAGCCACUUUCCAGCUUUGUAGGAAGUCUCUACAUUUUUAAACCUCCAUUUUUUUUUCCUGUAAAACUGGGGUCUUCAUGGUACUUAACUUCAUCGUGAUGUUGAGAGAAUGAAAAGAAAAAGGAUAAAUAAAUGGCUUAGCCUCGUGCCUUGGCACAUAUUGUGAUUGUUUCUUCACGUCUUUGUUCUCCUGGUGAAGCAUUUAUUCAGCAAGUGUUCACCAAGAGGCUGCCGGGGCAGCUGGGCGCUGUGGCGGAAAGAACACAGAUGCUAAUAAAAGCCUGAGCACAGGAUCAGGCUCUGUGGGUAAAGAUGCUCCAGUGGACCAGCUGAACACUUUACAGGAGACUCGUUCUGGCUCUGCAUUUGGACGGCUGAGCUCCCACCCACUUCAUCCCCCACCCGCAGCACACACACCAGCUUCUGGGCCAUUUCUGAGUUGGGAGCUUCUCAGAUUACGCUCAGUGUGACCUUGGGCAAAUCCCAUCACUCAUCUCAGCCUCUGGCAUAUUUCCUAUAAAACAGAGAUAAUAAUACCCACCAUACCAAGUUUUUGUAGUAGAUUAACCAACAGCAAAUGUGAAGUGCCCAGCGAAGCCCAGCAUGUGGUUGAUGCUCCACAACUUCUAGCUCCAUUCCCCCCACCACACCUUCCAUAACCGUGUGCCAAGCUUGGGCUAGAUGCUGGUGGUCAACAGAUUAAAAGAAGCUAGACCUGCCUGCAGGGAAUUUAAACUUUAAUGGGGGAAAUAAACAUUUGAACUUCUAUCCCAGAGAAAGAGCGCUAAGG
rnacentral:lncRNA from 10 species